rnacentral:rRNA from 1 species
AUUGAACGCUGGCGGCAUGCCUUACACAUGCAAGUCGAACGGUAACAGGUCUUCGGAUGCUGACGAGUGGCGAACGGGUGAGUAAUACAUCGGAACGUGCCCGAUCGUGGGGGAUAACGCAGCGAAAGCUUUGCUAAUACCGCAUAAGAUCUACGGAUGAGAGCAGGGGACCGCAAGGCCUUGCGCGAACGGAGCGGCCGAUGGCAGAUUAGGUAGUUGGUGGGAUAAAAGCUUACCAAGCCGACGAUCUGUAGCUGGUCUGAGAGGACGACCAGCCACACUGGGACUGAGACACGGCCCAGACUCCUACGGGAGGCAGCAGUGGGGAAUUUUGGACAAUGGGCGAAAGCCUGAUCCAGCCAUGCCGCGUGCAGGAUGAAGGCCUUCGGGUUGUAAACUGCUUUUGUACGGAACGAAAAGACUCUGGUUAAUACCUGGGGUCCAUGACGGUACCGUAAGAAUAAGCACCGGCUAACUACGUG